AUGGAGGCGACGGCGGUGAGCGUGGGGAAGGCCGUGCUCGAUGGCGCGCUCAGCUACGCCGGCUCCAAGGCGGCGGAGGAAAUCGGGCUGGAGCUUGGCAUUGGGUCUGAUGUGGACUUCAUCAGAGAUGAGCUGCAGAUGAUGCAGUCGUUCCUGAUGACGGCUGAUGAGGAGCAGAGCCAGAACAAGGUGCUCGCAACCUGGGUGAAACAGAUCGGGGUCCUGGCCUACAAGGUGGAGGACAGCCUCAUGGAUUUCGGCCUCCACUCCGAGAAAAAGCCAUUCUUGGGGUGCAUCCCUCGCAACCCAGGUGAUCGACGCCGCAUCGCUAAGGAAGUGAAGCAGCUGAGGACCGAGGUGGAGGACGUGAGCAAUAGGAACCUGCGCUAUCGCCUCAUCAAGGAGAGCUCAGCCUCCAAGCCUACGGCGGCAGAGGAGCAGGCCAGCAUUGCCGCUGCGGCAAUGUUUACCGCUGUGGAACAAGACUCGUCAUCAAAGGUGAACCUCCACCAGCUGGUUACCAGCAAUGAUGUGAACCUUAGGGUGAUCUCCAUGUGGGGAACUAGUGGUGAUCUCGGAAAGACAUCUGCCAUCCAGGAGGUUUAUGAUGACCCAAAGGUAUUGAAAAGGUUUAGAUUUCGUGCUUGGAUUAGGUUGAUGCAUCCUUUCAAUCCACAAGAGUUCCUCCGGUGCUUGGUAAGGCAAUUUUAUGAAAAUUCCCGUGAUGAGGUUGGGAAGCCAUCUUUCAGUCCACAAGAGUUCCUCCAGAGCUUGGUAAGGCAAUUUUAUGAAAAUUCCCAUGAUGAGGUUGGAAAGCCAGAACAAGAAACAAGUGGUGGGGCCGUUCUGGCCAAGAUGGAGAAGAUGGAUCAAAGUGAUUUAGUCCCUGUGUUUAAUGCACAGUUGCGUAGUAAUAGCUAUCUGGUUGUAAUUGAUGACCUAUCAACAAUAGUGGAGUGGCAUUGCGUUAAGAAGUACUUUCCCGACAACAAGAAAGGUAGAAUCGUUGUUUCCACGCAGCUAGCUGAAAUCGCAAGCUUGUGCACAGAGAAACCAUACCAAGUUUCGGAGUUGAAGCAGUUGUCAUGUGAUCAGACAAUCUAUUUGUUCCACAAGAAGAAUUCAGAACAACAGAUCAUCUUGGAAGGUGGUCGUGUGGCAAUAUAUGACACCAAUGACAAAGCAAAGGUUACUGCAGUGGAGGAGAAACUGAAGGCUAUGCAUGCAUCAUGUUCUGCCGAGCCCGUUUCCGCCUCAAGCAAAGUUACUACUACCGAGAAAAAUACAUCAAUGCCCACUGGUGAAAUACAGGAGGAAUACCAAGAACCUAAUAACUCCGGUGAAGAAAAAAUUCAUAACUCAACUGCUAGAAAGAAGUUUGAUCGCAGCAGGACACUGGCACUGGCUGAUGAAAUGCCCUGUGGGCGAGAAACAGAGAAAUCUUUUGUUAUCAAGUUAGUUGGCCAACCAGACCACAAUCAAGGCCGUAAAGUGAUCUCAGUUUGGGGAAUGGGGGGUCUUGGUAAAACCACUCUUGUUCGAAGCAUCUACCGAAGCAAGCAGCUUGAUGGCUGGAAGCGUGCUUGGGCCACUGCACUGCGUCCUUUUAACCCUGAAGUACUACUUCGAGAUUUGGCAUUGCAGCUCAGAAUACUAUUCAAGAAGAUCCUGCCGGAGCAACAACAACUAGAGUGCAAAAGAAAUUAA
rnacentral:rRNA from 1 species